rnacentral:tRNA from 1 species
GCCCGCGUGGCGUAAUGGAAACGCGUUCGACUGUAUGUCUCAAUACCUUAACUGCCGAAAUAGCACAUUGCUAAUAAAAUCCCCAUAGUCUAAUCGAAAGAUUGCGGGUUCGACCCCCGCCGUGGGUU